AUUGAACGCUGGCGGCAGGCCUAACACAUGCAAGUCGAGCGGAUGAAGGGAGCUUGCUCCUGGAUUCAGCGGCGGACGGGUGAGUAAUGCCUAGGAAUCUGCCUGGUAGUGGGGGAUAACGUCCGGAAACGGGCGCUAAUACCGCAUACGUCCUGAGGGAGAAAGUGGGGGAUCUUCGGACCUCACGCCAUCAGAUGAGCCUAGGUCGGAUUAGCUAGUUGGUGGGGUAAAGGCCUACCAAGGCGACGAUCCGUAGCUGGUCUGAGAGGAUGAUCAGUCACACUGGAACUGAGACACGGUCCAGACUCCUACGGGAGGCAGCAGUGGGGAAUAUUGGACAAUGGGCGAAAGCCUGAUCCAGCCAUGCCGCGUGUGUGAAGAAGGUCUUCGGAUUGUAAAGCACUUUAAGUUGGGAGGAAGGGCAGUAAGUUAAUACCUUGCUGUUUUGACGUUACCAACAGAAUAAGCACCGGCUAACUUCGUG
rnacentral:rRNA from 1 species